ACACGACUACAUUAGAUACCCCUGUAGUCCUAGCCGUAAACGAUACUCGCUAGGUGUCGGCCACGGUGCGACCGUUGUCGGUGCCGUAGGGAAGCCGUGAAGCGAGCCACCUGGGAAGUACGGCCGCAAGGCUGAAACUUAAAGGAAUUGGCGGGGGAGCACCACAACGGGUGGAGCUUGCGGUUUAAUUGGAUUCAACGCCGGAAAUCUUACCGGGACCGACAGCAACGUGAAGGCCAGGCUGAAGACUUUGCCGGAUUAGCUG
rnacentral:rRNA from 1 species